rnacentral:rRNA from 1 species
UACGUAGGGUGCAAGCGUUAAUCGGAAUUACUGGGCGUAAAGCGUGCGCAGGCGGUUUUGUAAGCCAGAUGUGAAAUCCCCGGGCUUAACCUGGGAACUGCAUUUGUGACUGCAUGGCUAGAGUACGGCAGAGGGGGAUGGAAUUCCACGUGUAGCAGUGAAAUGCGUAGAUAUGCGGAGGAACACCGGUGGCGAAGGCGGCAUCCUGGACCGAAACUGACGCUGAUGCGCGAAAGCCAGGGGAGCAAACGGG